ensembl:lncRNA
AUACCACUGAACUGUCCAUCCAUGAUCAGUUAUAUCAUAUUCAUCAAGGAGAGAAGUCCGUCAGCAUGUAUGCUCUCCGAUUUCGCACUCUGGCUUCAACGAGUAGUUGGAACGAAACUGAGUGUAUUAAUCGCCCAAGAAAGCCCCAACCGAAACCUCCCGCAACUCCUGAUCAUCUUCCUGUCCUGUCCACCUCUGUGGAGAGCCCGGCUACUAAUGUGAUAGUGGAAAUCCCACCAGCGUACCGGGUGUUCCAGGAUGUAUUCAGCAAGCGGUUGGCUACACGUUUACCACCUUAUCGGCCAUGGGACUGUGCCAUCGACCUCCUGCCUGGAGCGACCCUCCCAAAGGGUCGGAUCUACCCACUGUCCAUCCCGGAACAGAAGGCCAUGGAGGAGUACGUUCAGGAGGCCCUGCGUCAGGGAUUCAUUCGUCCAUCUACGUCCCCUGCCGCUUCGAGUUUCUUCUUCAUGGCCAAAAAGGAUGGAGGCUUGAGGCCGUGCAUAGACUACCGUCACCUGAACUCCCAAACAGUGAAAUUCAGUUAUCCCCUUCCUCUGGUCCCAGCAGCUUUGGAACAGCUACGAGGUGCCCGUAUCUUCUCUAAGCUCGAUCUCCGAAGCGCCUACAAUCUCAUCCACAUUAGAAGAGGCGAUGAAUGGAAGACUGCCUUCAUAACCCCGUCAGGACACUACGAAUACCGGGUUAUGCCGUAUGGCCUGUCCAACUCCCCAUCCGUCUUCCAGAACUAUAUGAAUGAGAUCUUCCGUGAGUACCUGAAUCGCUUUGUCAUCAUCUAUAUAGACGAUAUCCUGAUAUACUCCAGUGACAUGAAAGAACAUGAAAAGCAUGUACUCCAAAUCCUUCAAAAACUAUGAGAACAUCAACUGUUUCUAAAAUUAGAGAAGUGUGAGUUCCAUACCUCCACCGUCCAAUUCUUAGGCUACAUCAUCAACCAACAUGGUAUCAAGAUGGACCAGAGGAAGGUGGAAACCAUCCAGCAGAGGCCAUUAC